CCUACGGGGGGCAGCAGUAGGGAAUUUUCGUCAAUGGGCGCAAGCCUGAACGAGCAAUGCCGCGUGAACGAGGAAGGUCUUCGGAUCGUAAAGUUCUGUUGAAGGGGAAAAAGAGCGGAGAGAGGAAAUGGUCUCCGAUUGAUAUUACCCUUCGAGGAAGUCACGGCUAACUACGUGCCAGCAGCCGCGGUAAUACGUAGGUGGCGAGCGUUAUCCGGAAUGAUUGGGCUUAAAGGGUGCGUAGGUGGUUAAUUAAGUCAGCGGUGAAAGUUUGUGGCUCAACCAUAAAAUUGCCGUUGAAACUG
rnacentral:rRNA from 1 species